rnacentral:rRNA from 1 species
AACGAACGCUGGCGGCAUGCCUAACACAUGCAAGUCGAACGAGACCUUCGGGUCUAGUGGCGCACGGGUGCGUAACGCGUGGGAACCUGCCCUUAGGUUCGGAAUAACUCCCCGAAAGGGGUGCUAAUACCGGAUAAUGUCUUCGGACCAAAGAUUUAUCGCCUUUGGAUGGGCCCGCGUUGGAUUAGCUAGUUGGUAGGGUAAAAGCCUACCAAGGCGACGAUCCAUAGCUGGUCUGAGAGGAUGAUCAGCCACACUGGGACUGAGACACGGCCCAGAAUCCUACGGGAGGCAGCAGUGGGGAAUAUUGGACAAUGGGCGAAAGCCUGAUACAGCAGUGCCGCGUGAGUGAUGAAGGCCUCAGGGUUGUAAAGCUCUUUUACCCGGGAUGAUAAUGACAGUACCGGGAGAAUAAGCACCGGCUAACUACGUG